rnacentral:lncRNA from 1 species
AUGCCACAAACAGGUGUACACAUGGCAGGUGGAUCUCCUUCCACAUUUUCUGAUUCGUCAGAAUCAGUGCUAGCAUCAUCACCAAUCAUUUCUUCCUCUGCCGCCUCCUCCUCCUCUUGUUCAAACUCGUCUACAUCAAAAUCAUUGCUUAUAUGACCAAUUGGAGGAGAAUGAACCCGCUCCUGCGUCCAAUUACCAUCCAAGUCCAUACUCUCCAUAGUUUGUUGGACCUGCACACCACAAUCUCCUUGAGUACCACCGUCGAAGGACGGCUCCUCAUUCUCAACAUUCUCCAACACCAACUCAGCCAUGCCGACAUUCGAACCUUAGAUGACCCUAUUGUAUCGGGACCGCUCAGCUUGGUUGCACAAGUCCAUCAUCACAUAGUGUGCCCUAUUCUUUCCAAACAUCAAACCUACCCUUUAGUGUGAAAGCAUCGCCAAACUUCAAACUCAAACAGUCACAUAGAGCGCUGAAACUAGGGGGGCCAUCAUACCAUUCCAAUUCCUCAUACAUAUCCUCAAACUUACAAUCAUCUCUCCUAACACUUCCUCCAUAAAAAACUCUUACACCGUAAUCCAUCUACAAAACGAUUUGACAUCCGAUGAUCAACUAACAAAUAUGGUAGUACUAAAUACUAAAUAACUAACUAACUAAGUACAGUAAUAACUAACUAAAUUAUUAACUAAUUCCGACAUAACCAACUAACUUACUAACUACUUACUACAUAACUAACCCUAAACCCUAAAUUAUUAACUAACUAACUAAAAACAUACUUAACUAACAAAAAUAACUAACAAAAAUAGCUAACAAAAAUAACUAACAAAAAUAACUAACAAAAAUGACUAACAAAAAAUAUACCUUAGGCCGCCGGAGGGAGGGGGCAGAGGGCCACCAAGGCCGCUGGAGGGAGGGGCAGGGCGGCCACCAAGGCCCACGGCCACCAGGGAGGGGUGCGGCGAGCGGCGGGCGCGGCGACGUGCAGGGCUACGGGACGGGGCGGGGCGUGCGAAACAGCAGAGAAAGGGAUGGGCGGGGCGGGCCAUUUUGUCAGGGUAUACCCCGCCAUGAUGCGCGGCGGGGUACCCUAGCCCGCCAUGAUGCGUGGCGGGGUACUCUUUGCCACGUACCCCGCCACGUGUCGGACACGUCGGCGGGCCCUCUCCGUAUCCUGCCACGUCAGCAGCAGUAACCUGCCACCAUGCAUGGCGGGGUACUGUGCUUUUGCCACGCCAUGCAUGGUGUCGGGGCCAAACGGCCUAGAUUUAAAAAUAUUUUCAAAAGCGGAUCAAAUUUGUAAUUUGUUUUGAAUUUGGGCUAAAAAUAAAAAAAAAAUUCCCCAGCGGUCGGUGGUUCUUCCCUGCUUGGCUCUCACCCUCGGUCCUAGUCAUGCGACUCAAUUUCAACUUUUCCCUUCAUUUUAGGCUUUUAGCUAUUUCUCUCUGUACAUAUAUGGAGUAGUAGCUACCGUCAUGGAAAAACUUUCUGGGUCCGCCGCAUAGCGAUGGUUACGUGGAAGAAGAAGACCACCUCAGAGGUGAAAGUCGCCGCGAAUAUGCUUCCGGUAAGCUCGAGUUGAUGGCUUCAGUUCAAUGCUAAACUCGGCGUGUGGCUUUUAUAUAUAGGACGAUUCCGGAAAUAAAGUUCCCUAUAUAUUUAUAGGGCUUUUAUAGGGCGUGUGGCUUCAAUGCUAAACUUCCUGGAAUAAAGUUCACUAUCUAUAUAUUUCCACCCUCUAACAAUCUCUCUACAUCUUUUAGACACUCUAGAGAGCUCAACCCACUCUUAGCAAAAAAGAGAAACUAUUGGGGCGUAUUUUUCUAAAAAAAUCUCUAUUCCUAUCACUACAAAGAACUAAAAAUACUUAUAGAGUUGCUCUUAUCAGCCCUUGAUUGUUUGAUUUUUCCAAGAAAAUUCCAUUUGAAAUUCUGAUAUAUCCUUGUCAGCAAGGAUGUGCUACACCAUGUGGGCUGGCCUUUAGCACGAGUCCUCGUCCUUGUCACCUCUGUAGCGCUGGCCGCCCGGCCCAAUAAGCGGCACAUAGGAUAAGGCCGGAGGCCCAACUGAAGUCGGAGCCUGCCCAACCAACCAAACUAUACUGCCUAUUUAAACUAACGAAUCGUUCAAGCGCGUGCGUGC